rnacentral:rRNA from 1 species
GACGAACGCUGGCGACGUGCCUAAUACAUGCCAGUUGAGCGCUGAAGGUUGGUACUUGUACCAACUGGAUGAGCAGCGAACGGGUGAGUAACGCGUGGGGAAUCUGCCUUUGAGCGGGGGACAACAUUUGGAAACGAAUGCUAAUACCGCAUAAAAACUUUAAACACAAGUUUUAAGUUUGAAAUAUGCAAUUGCAUCACUCAAAGAUGAUCCCGCGUUGUAUUAGCUAGUUGGUGAGGUAAAGGCUCACCAAGGCGAUGAUACAUAGCCGACCUGAGAGGGUGAUCGGCCACAUUGGGACUGAGACACGGCACAAACUCCUACGGGAGGCAGCAGUAGGGAAUCUUCGGCAAUGGACGAAAGUCUGACCGAGCAACGCCGCGUGAGUGAAGAAGGUUUUCGGAUCGUAAAACUCUGUUGGUAGAGGAGAACGUUGGUGAGAGUGGAAAGCUCAUCAAGUGACGGUAACUACACAGAAAGGGACGGCUAACUACGUG